GAUGAACGCUGGCGGCGUGCCUAAUACAUGCAAGUCGAGCGAAUGGAUUAAGAGCUUGCUCUUAUGAAGUUAGCGGCGGACGGGCGAGUAACACAUGGGUAACCUGCCCAUAAGACUGGGAUAACUCCGGGAAACCGGGGCUAAUACCGGAUAACAUUUUGAACCGCAUGGUUCGAAAUUGAAAGGCGGCUUCGGCUGUCACUUAUGGAUGGACCCGCGUCGCAUUAGCUAGUUGGUGAGGUAACGGCUCACCAAGGCAACGAUGCGUAGCCGACCUGGGAGGGUGAUCGGCCACACUGGGACUGAGACACGGCCCAGACUCCUACGGGAGGCAGCAGUAGGGAAUCUUCCGCAAUGGACGAAAGUCUGACGGAGCAACGCCGCGUGAGUGAUGAAGGCUUUCGGGUCGUAAAACUCUGUUGUUAGGGAAGAACAAGUGCUAGUUGAAUAAGCUGGCACCUUGACGGUACCUAACCAGAAAGCCACGGCUAACUACGUGCCAGCCGCCGCCGUAA
rnacentral:rRNA from 1 species